UUUGUUUUAAUUUAUUAAAAAACUAACUUCAGUGUAAUAACAGAAAAUUUUUUUUGUAAAAUAUAAAUGACAGAUUAUUUAUAUUGAUAAACAAUCGAAAAUAAUUUAAUCUUUAAUAUGUAAUUAAAAAAAAAAAAAAAAGUAUUGACAAUUGAAAAGUGACUAAACAGAAAGGAUGAUCAUCAGUAAAAGGACACCAUAUCAUCUUUUUCACACGAUUUCCCUUCAAGAUUUUCAGCCGGAAGUCAAAUAUCGACGGGGAAAAAAAAGUCAAACGUGUCAUUGGCAUCGACAAACGUUUCCCACCUCCUACACCUCGAGGGAAGAUUGAGUUCACUCAAGGACCAGAUUCACAUUUCGGAAUCAGGUUGAUGUUUAAUAUUGAAAAUUUGUUACGAUAAGAAACGAUUUCUGAAAAAUGUGUGCAAAAGGUCAGGAAUCUCGACCUCAUUUUCCUCGAAAAUCUCCAAUCGAGCCGCCAAGCUUUAUUGACAUCAUUUUUCAUCAACGUAAUGGACGAAGAUCGCAGUACUAUUUUACCAGUGGUCAUGAACACUUGGAAAAACCAACAAAUUCUGAUGAAGAACAAUUACCGUUUACUUUACCGCAAGGCAAACAUUUGUUGGCAUAUUUCCAUCGUUGGAAGACUAAGAAAACACUCACGUCUCAGAAGAAACGGAAAUUUGGCUACAGAAGCUUUCAAAAGCCCAAAAGUAUCCUGCCGAACUUGCAAGUAGAAUUGGAAUUAGAAAAAGAAGAAGAAUGUAAAGAUUCAAAUAAGGCAACAUCUAUGAUAGAUUUAGAUAAAAAUUACUUUAAAGAAUUGAAGGGACGUGGCUUAAGAAAACGAUUUUCAACUCGCCAAUACAUUGACGAUAUAAGAGAAGUUUUAGCUACCAGACUUUUAGCAGGUCAAGAACGUGAUGACUGUAUACGAAUCGAUCAACAAUUUGCCGAAGAGCAAAAAGUGUUAAACAAUAUAAAGAAAGAGUGUCGGAUGUACGCAAAAUCCUUCGAAGAAUUUUUAUCCAAAGAUCACGAUGAGAGUAUGAGGAUUUUAAAUGAAGCAUCCGAGGCGGAAAAAAGAACAGGAGAAAUGACUGCCGAAAAGAAUCAACUUUCAAGUGCCUAUGGGCAAGUCAGAUUAGAGGUCUAUUUUUGGGAAGAAGCAUGGAGAAUGGUUAAACAAUGCCAAAAGUUUCUUUACCAGAUUUCUCCAAUUUCUUGGCGAGAGAAACACGAUUGGAUUAAUAAAAAUAAAUAUCCUUUCUUUAAUUCAAUUACAGGACAAGCUAAAGAUAUUUUUAGUUCCACUCAAGAUAUUGACGAAUCGACAUCAAUAUUAUCGCUUAUCGAUAUGUUUGAACAAGAUAUAGAGAAUGCAAAACCACCUGAACUCUACUUUGAUGAUCCACUUGAUCUCAUUCGUGUCUUCAGGACGAUUGAAUUGCAAAAUCUUAAUGCCCUGAUUCAUCUGGAAUCAUUAGCGGGACCGAUGUCCGAUAUGGCUAUGACCAUAGCAGCGACUGAAGAUCAAAUUAAAUCUGAGAUCAAUGAAAUUGCCGAAGGAAUCAAGGAUCUUGAGGACUCUAUUAAAGCGGCGGAAGAUCGUGCAGCUAGUUUAGAACGAUAUGCAAAUUACCUAUUACAUGGUGUUUUUCGUGACUUGGUAUGUUCCGAGCAAGUUUUAUAUUUGCGUGUCUUCAUUGAAGACGCAUAUGAGGCUUGUGUUGCGCCAAACGACGCUAAUCUUGAUAGUUUCACAAUGAUGCGGUCGAUUGAGAAAACAUAUGAAGACUUAAGUCUUGAGCUAGACAGUUUGCCCCACAAGGUGGUUGUCGCUUGCGAGAAAAAGGGCUUCCGGGAUGAAAUGAAGCUUAUGAAAGAAGCUGAGGAUGCCACGAGAAAGUUUGAACUCAUGCACCGACUGUUGGGAGCUUUAAAACGAGUUAUGGAACCGCCAAAGCCAAAGAAACGACAAUUGAUGAGAAGAUCGGCACCUAAACAACAAAAAUCGAAAAUUGAUACUCCCUUACAACCACCAACAGAAGAUGAGAAGCAAUUUUUAAAUUUCUUUACAAAUUAUUGCCCGCAAGAUGAUCACAAUUCUUUUAGAGCUCAAUUUUCAGACGAUUUAAAUCGUCUUCUGAAAAACAAACAGUGCAAUGAUUCGGGUAUAAUUGGAGACAACAAAGAGACCGAAGAGUGUUCGUUUUUCAUUUGAUUAUCUAUGUGUGUGUGUGUUUGUAUGUAAUUACAGUCAAAUUUACGCUUCCAACGAAAUAAGUGUGUCAAUGACCUCUAUGAGUGACGUUUAAUCCCUACUCUUCGUAUAUAAAACCGAAUUUCAAAGUAAUGGUUGGCCCGUUUACACGACAAGUGACAUAUUUAUGUUGAUGCAGUGAAAAUUCUAAUCUUCAAAAUCAAUAAAUUUAGAUGAGCAUUUGAGUCAGCGAAAGUUUUCAUUAUAAUCUUCAAAGGGAAAGGAGGACGCUAUAAUGAGCGGUAAGUUGGUAUGCUGAAUAUGUAGUUUCAAAAAAUAAAUACCUCCUAAAAUUAAAAAAAAAAAAAAACUGAAACUUCUGCGCAUCUCUUGCAAAUUUUUCAAUACGAAAAUAGAAAAAAUUACUUUUGAAAUAGUAAAACUUUGGAAAUAGUAUUUUUAUUUUAUUUCCGGAGCAAAAGUCAGAAACUGACAUAUAUUUUAGAAUUUAGUUUGGAAGUGGUAAAAAUUCGUUUUCAAUUUUUUCUAUACGAUUAUUAUUGUUCUUCCGUGAUUCUAUGUAUUCAAAUAAAAAAAAAAAAAAAAAAGAAUAGAAAAAUGGCAUGCAAUAUUUUUGUAUGUAUUCAAAUACAAUCGCUGCAAUGAUCCAUCUAUUGUGUGUUACAUUAACCGGUGUAUAUAACUGAAGAAACGAAAGAUCGCGUGCUCUAUUGAUAAUAUUCAGGGUUUUUAACCCACUUUCUGCGCCUGAUCACUACUAGGAAGCUAUUUAAACCAGGAAGUGUUAGAUAUUUUCAUUUUCAUCCUCUUUUAACUUUGGAAAAUACAAGAGAAAUUUCACAAAUAAUAUUUUACGAACAAAAUUAGAUUUACUGCAUAUUAAUAU